rnacentral:tRNA from 1 species
UCCAUGAUAGUCUAGUGGUUAGGACGCAGGACUUUCACCCCUGUGGCCUGGGUUCAAUCCCUGGUCUGGGAA